GUCAUUAAAUUAAAUGAGCGGAACAUGAACAUCAACCUGGAGCUGCUGCCUUUCACAUUUCCCAACGCCCACUUGCAACACUAUGGUAUCUCUUUAACCACUCCGCUCUGACUCGAGGAGAGAGAGAAAAAAUAUCCCCCCCUUUUCUGGCAACCCUUCCUGGUGAGCAUUGCAUGCUUGUGCGACUGAGUAGUCUACCCGAGAGCAGAGCGCCGCGCAAUAACAAACCCAGUCCUCUGCUCCGACUGCCAGGCGUAAAGAGGCAUUUAUCUCUUGGAAGCACCGCAAACGAGCAGAGAGAGCCCAGAUACCCCGCACUCGGUUCGGACAUGAGCCCGGGGAUCCGGAGAUGAGGCUCCGAAAUGGCACCUUCCUAACGGUCGUAUUGUUUGGUCUAUGCGGACUCAUUUCGCUCUCCUGGUACACGGCAUUCAGCAAUUCCAAAGGUGAUGUGGUGGACAUUUACCAGCGGGAGUUUCUGGCCCUGAGAGAGCGUCUGCACUCUGCCGAGCAGGAGAACCUGAAGCGAUCCAAGGAGCUCAACCUGGUGCUGGACGAGAUCAAGAGGGCCAUCGCUGAAAAGCAGGCCCUUAGGGACAUCAAUCGCACCUGGGCCAGCCUAUCUGCUGACCCAUGUAUUCUUCCAUCACAGUAAGAAUGUGCUCCAGCUGCCCAGUAUCUCCAUCACCUGCCCCAUCUCCUUGCGAAGGAGAGCAGCCUGCAGCCUGCUGUGCACGUGGGCCAGGGACGCACCGGGGUGUCGAUCGUGAUGGGUGUGCCCAGUGUGAAGAGGGAGGUCCACUCGUACCUGACGGACACCCUCAGCUCUCUGAUGACAGAGCUCAGUGCGGCAGAGAAGGAGGACUGUGUCAUUGUGGUCUUCAUAGCUGAGACGGACCAACAGUACGCCAACAGCGUGGCUGACAACCUCAAGCGCCUGUUUCCAGUGGAGAUCCAGUCAGGUCUUCUGGAAGUCAUAUCUCCGUCUGUCCACUUCUACCCCGACUUCUCCCGCCUCAAAGAGUCCUUCGGAGACCCCAAGGAGAGGGUCAGAUGGCGGACGAAGCAGAAUUUGGAUUACUGCUUUCUCAUGAUGUACGCCCAGUCUAAAGGGACCUACUAUGUGCAGCUGGAGGAUGACAUUGUUGCGCGUCCAAAUUACUUCACCACGAUGAAGAACUUUGCCCUGCAGCAGCCUUCUGAGGAGUGGAUGAUCUUGGAGUUCUCCCAGCUGGGCUUCAUCGGUAAGAUGUUCAAGUCCGUGGACCUGUCGCUGAUCGUUGAGUUUAUGCUAAUGUUCUACAAGGACAAGCCAAUUGAUUGGUUGCUGGAUCACAUCAUGUGGGUUAAGGUGUGCAACCCAGAGAAGGACGCGAAACACUGCGACAGGCAGAAGGCCAACCUGAGAAUUCGCUUCAAGCCCUCUCUCUUCCAGCAUGUGGGCACCCACUCUUCCCUGGCCGGAAAGAUCCAGAAACUCAAGGACAAGGACUUUGGCAAGCAGACCCUGCACAAGGGCCACGCCAACCCGCUGGCGGAGGUGACCACCAGCCUGAAGACCUACCAGCACUUCACCCUGGAGAAGGCCUACCUGGGAGAGGACUUCUUCUGGGCCUUCACCCCUGUGGCUGGGGACUUCAUCCGCAUCCGCUUCUUCACGCCCGUCCGCAUCGAAAGGUAUUUCUUCCGUAGCGGGAAUAUUGAGCACCCUGGGGACAAGCUGUUCAACACCACUGUGGAGGUGCUGCCUUUUGACAAUAUCCAAUCAGAAAAAGAGGCCUUGAAAGAGGGGAGAGAGAAAACACCAAAGUACCACAGAACAGAGGACGGCUUUAUCAGAAUAGGAGUGUUCCAUAAUGGGAUCGCCGAGGGAGAGGUGGAUCCCACAUUCGGGCCCCUGGAAGCCCUUCGUCUCUCUGUGAUCACAGACUGCCCCGUCUGGGUCAUCCUGAGCGAGAUAUUCAUCAAGAAAGCAGAGUGAAUGUCAUCACCCCGCAGCAAUACCUCAGUCAUCCGUUCGACCGUUCGACAGAGGAAUGAAGCCUUUGAAAGCUAUACUCAUUCCCUGGCUUUUGGCAAUUAGUUUCUCGAGCGUAGUCGGAGUGCGCCAUCUGUUGGCGAGAUCUUGCCAUCGCAGGGUCCUUCUGGGACUGUCAACUCAAUCCACGGUUGACAGACCGUGUGGGAAGAUCUUCCCAGACACGCGUAAUCGGAGAACGCGCCCUGCGUGAACGACACAAAGACGACGCUGUAUUUAGGAAACUGUAUUUAUGUGUACAUAAAGGUUUAUGUUUGAAAUAAUUGUAAUUACACUGGUAAUUGUCAAAUAGCUCGCAAGAUUGUUUAGCUCCUUUUGAUGACAUUAUGACAAUUAAAUGUUGCUGCUUCGGAAUCAAAGACUUGGCCUACAACGUUACCAAGAUACAGGUAUGUCUGAAUUGUGCAACUUCAAUAACUGAUAAUCAUGUUUGACAAAUGUUACUGGUUUUACCCAAAUGUAUUCCCAGUAGGCAGAAUCUACCGCACACUCAUAGUUGAUUUGUGAAGGUGCUGGAGGCAAAAGGCAAAACUGGAGAAGCAGGAAAUAGUCUCCGCACACAAAAAUGUAUUUUAUUGUGGCUGAGCUUUCGGGCAGUCGAUCAAAUGUAUUCAGAAAAUACCUAUGUAUGUGGAUAUAGGCCUAAUAUGCAUAUUUAUGUAACACAAUCAUAUGAAUGAUCUCUAUUAUGUGUGUUGAUAUGUAUUUACAGUGAGUGUCCACAAAAGUCAGUCAGAAAAGUAGCCGAGGCCUAUACAGUGUAGAUGGAAAUAGAACUUUAGCCAGAAAGUACACACAUGUCUAAUGUUUGAAUAAAAUAUCUUUAUAUGGUCAAUUCUAAAGCCAGAAGUCAAUGUAGGCACAUUAUGAUUAUGGUUCCAACAUCUGUUUGAGAUUUAUUUCAUGAACCAUCUUCCCUAACAUUGUUUUUUCCCCUUCUCCGCCUAUCAAUUUGCCUUAAUGUGACAUGAAGUUAACCAGGUUGUGGGGAUAAAUCAACGUAAGGCAAGGCCAGACACAAGCUACUCAAUUGCAUUAGCUAGGGAACUGGAAAAGACAGCGGCCUCCAUAAUACAGGAAACAUUUCUGAUUUACAGGAAACAUAUCUGUUGGAUUUUCUAUGUCUGCCACAUAUCAGAUACACAAGGUUAGUUGUAAUCCAAGGAGCCACAUAUCAGAUACACAAGGUUAGUUGUAAUCCAAGGAGCCACAUAUCAGAUACACAAGGUUAGUUGUAAUCCAAGGAGCCACAUAUCAGAUACACAAGGUUAGUUGUAAUCCAAGGAGCCACAUAUCAGAUACACAAGGUUAGUUAUAAUCCAAGGAGCCACAUAUCAGAUACACAAGGUUAGUUGUAAUCCAAGGAGCCACAUAUCAGAUACACAAGGUUAGUUGUAAUCCAAGGAGCCACAUAUCAGAUACACAAGGUUAGUUGUAAUCCAAGGAGCCACAUAUCAGAUACACACGUGGAGUAAUUGUCUGGACUAGUCGGAUGUAAGAGAAAUAUGUAGCUCUAAUCAAUGCACGAAGAAUCAUCUUUACUUCUCAGUAGAAUCUAUGUUUCUCAUAAUGACCAUGAAGAAGUCAAGGAAGGACCCCUCUCUUCCACUCAAGUGAGGUCUCAUGAGAGAGUGAAACUGUCCAAUAUGACAACCCCUCUCAUUCCACAUGUUCUGCACUACUACUAUAACGAAUUGAUGGUGGAAUGUAUUAAAGUACUGUAAUUGUCCUGACACCAGACUUAUACAUCUUCCAAACAGGCUCUGUGACGGCAAGGGCCAAACUCAAGUUCUAUGUAUUGUUAGAUGCAAAGUAUUUUGCAGUUAAAGGGACACAUUAAUUUGCUUUUGCAUACUUGGAUCCAAAAAACAUUCCUUUAUCAGAGCCCAACCGAAAAACCAUUGAAAACCCUUGAUCGAAAUCUAAAGAGUUGUCGGCACAGAACAGGAGUAUGGGAUUUCAGCCAAUACAAGUGUACUGAAAGCGAAAUUAAACUUGGGGACUUUUAACUCAGAAGCGAGGUGGCUUUUCUAUCGAAUAGAGAAUGCAACAUUGAUUCUGAUUCUGCUCAAUGUUAACACAGUUUCUCAGCAACAACUGACCUAAACUUGCUUUCCAUUUAUUGGGGUGUGCACUCCAGUAAACAAGCUGUUUUAGGAGCCCCUUCGUUGCUAUCGGUAUGGCCACUAUACAGUAGCAGGUGCGUGGGUGCAUUAAGUCAACGUAGGGCUAUGGAUAGAAAAAUCUGAACUGUACCCAAUGAGCUAAGAAGGAGAAAGAGUUGUCUUUUCUUGUAAGGUGCACUGGAAUGCAUUGCUAUUAUAUGUUGUAUUUUGUAUAAUUUAGAUAAACUAUAUUUAAUGAUGUUAUCUAUCCAUUCAUUGAAUUGUAAUAAAGACGGAAUUUCAAUUGACA